AAUGACUUCAGGCGUCAUCACCUCGACUUUCUUUAUUCUCUGGGUUGCAGGUGUUUCUGAGUCUGUACUGAUCGACCAGUGGCCUCGCUACAUCUCCGCCGCUGCCAACAGUGGUGUAGAAAUGUACUGUUACCAGAACGAAACAGAUCAUCAAAACAUGUACUGGUACAAACAACAGAAAGGAAAAGCUCUGGAGCUCGUUGUGUAUCUGGUAGUUGGCAGUCCUACCUAUGAAGAAGGAUUCAAAUCAGGAUAUAAGGCAGAGACGGUACAAGUGAAGAAGUCGUCCCUGACAAUCUCUAGCGUUCAGAGGAAAGACGAGGCUGUUUAUCUGUGUGCUGCUAGUUUACACGGUGCUGUGGCAGAUCCCACCACUGUGACAAAAACAUCCUUUAUUGUUCUGACACCUGACUGACACAUAAUAAUAUUCAAAGGAAGAAACAAAACCACACUGAGGAGGAGAUAUCGACGGAUUAAACUAUACACGUUGUUUAACUUCUGUUGAGAGAAGGAAAUGAUUUGAAAAGAUCAAACCAAUAGGUGGAGACAAAACACAGUGCAGCGCAGCAACUCCCUCCCUCUACACCUUGAACUUCAUUUUUCUUCCGACAACAUUUUUGGCAUCAGUGCUCGACAAUGUCUUCACGAGUGCAGACCUGCGUUUUUCUCUUCGCCUUGUUCUCAUGUAAGAUCUUUAUUUUCAUACUGUACUUGCUCAACGAUCAUUUUUUAACACAAAUCCUGCACUA